rnacentral:siRNA from 1 species
UGUUGUCUCUACACUUACCUC